NNNNNNNNGUGCUGCUCCGGGCAUCCCAGUGCUGCUCCGGGCACCACGUUGCUGCUGCGCGCCAGGAGCCGCUCCCAGCACCCUGGCGCUGCUCCGUACAACCCUGCGCAUCGCUUCCCCUCGCAGCUCUACAACAUGCUGCCCGGCCUCACGGGCCGCCUGCCCGGCCCCCACCAAACCUUCUUCCAAAACGGCUUCUUCAUCCCAGGCUUCCUGGCCAGGAAGACAGCGGAGCACGAGGCCACGGCGGAUUUCAAUGUCCCCCGGGACUUCACGGGCGCCUUCCUGCGCAAGAUCGAGCAGGCGGCGCCCCGGGGCCGAGCCGCGGUGCGGAGGCAAAACCCCCUCCGCUCUCCCCAGCCCAGGAGAAGGGGGAACCCCACGACGGUCUUCACACGGGAGAACGUGAAGGUGACGGUGUUUGACGUGUUCCUGGACGGAGAGCACCAGCAUCUCCAUCCGCUACUGCCUCAUGCUCCUGCUGGAGCACCCGGCCGCGGCGGGUGUGAAAGCAGCGCAACGCACGUGCAGCAACGCAGUGCACAGCACGACACAUGCACCGCAGUGCAAUGCUUGCAGUGCAACACGUGGGGAUGCAGCGCAUGCAGUGCACAGCAUGACGCAGGCAGUGCAGUGCAGCCCUUGCAAUGCAACACACAUGGGGAUGCAGCGCAUGCAGCACGACGCAUGCGGUGCAGUGCAAUCCUUGCAAUGCAUGCAGCGCGGCGCACACAAGACCGCGCCGCGCAUGCAAGGCAACGCACAGUCCAGCGCAUGCAGCGGCACGCAGCAGGCAGUGCAAUGCACGCAAAGCAACGCACGCAGCGUACUGCUUGCAGUGCAGCACGCCCAAUGCAGUGCACACCAUGCAGUACAUGCCCAGGAGCUAUUUGGGGCACACAAGAGCGCGCCGCGCAUGCAAGGCAACGCACAGUCCAGCGCAUGCAGCGGCACGCAGCAGGCAGUGCAAUGCACGCAAAGCAACGCACGCAGCGUACUGCUUGCAGUGCAGCACGCCCAAUGCAGUGCACACCAUGCAGUACAUGCCCAGGAGCUAUUUGGGGUGUCGGGGAGGGUACGGGGGGGCUCGGGGGCACAGUGCCGC
rnacentral:lncRNA from 1 species